CUUGAAGUCUACUUCCUAAAAUAUUAUAUAAUCGUAUAUCAAUGUAAUCGUAUAAAUAUGGUAUGUCAUGCGUGACCUCAUCAGAAUAGCACACAUCCGUCUUGUAGUAAAACGCCCUAUCUUUGAAGUUAUGCCUUUAUGUGCACAUGGAAACGCACAUAUAGUCUCAUCGGCUCUAUUGUCUCAUCUUUCAUCGGCUCUGUUGACAUUUUUUUUUAUCUCUCUUUUUUUUAUCUUAUCUUUUUUUUAUCUUUCUUUUAGAAAAUGGAAGUCACUUAAAAAAAUAUUGUUUAUCUUUCUGUUUGUGUGAAUUAGAAUUAAUAUACGAUCAAGAAGAAAUUUUUUUUUUGGAGAAUCAUGGAGUACGCAACUAAUCGAUAUAGAUGGCACAACUAGGUGGCUAAAGCAAAUCGAAUCGAAGGGGAAAGUUCCAGCCGGAACCUCUACCACUAGACCAAGAAGAGAAUAAUUAGUUUUGAUUCCGUAUUCGAAUGGGAAGAGAGGGUCGUCUUUCGUGUCGCCAGCGUGUAUCGGAAGCUUAUCAACACUAUUCAUCCACGUGCAUGGCAACAUGCCGUUGAAGGGAUGAUCGCCAAACAAGACUCAGCAUCUCCUUCGGUUCCUGGAAGCCAAGCGACUGAAAGAGCGUCGAUGGUGCCAGGCAGAACCGGCUCAACACUGUUACGGACCCUAAGACGAAAAAUAUUUUUUUUUACCUUCUAAAAUUUAUAUGUAGAUAAUGUUUAAAAUAUUUUCAAAAUUUAAUCAAUAAUAUUUUGUAAUAAAAAUAAAACUAUAUACAUAUCAAAUAAUUUGGGCCCUUUUCAAUUUUAUUUAUUAUAUUUAUAAUUUUUUAUAUAUGAAAAUAUAGAUUACAAAAAAAUUGGGUCUCUUAAUUAGUAUUAUACGGGGGGACACGAGCUUGGGUCCGGAGCGAUCGCACUACUUGUCCCCCUAAUAAGCCUGCCCUGGUGCCAAGGUACUCGAUCAUGAGAGGACUUCCUGUGACUAGGACCACUAGACACAUCAUGCCACUACCACACGUGUGGCUGAUCGAUUCUGGACCUGGUGCGGCUAUGCUUAGCGUGCUGCUGUCCCCUUGUGUCUCUUCGUAAAUCAUAAGGAGCUUCACCUGCGACCACAAUUGUGUAUGCUGCGUCGGCGUGAAGCUGCCUUCGAUGUAUAGUCGUCUGGUGCCUCCACGUAUAUUUUGUGAUUUACCGAUCCUUGUAGUGAAAGUGAACAUGUGCAUAUCAAUUUAUAGUAACAUUUUUUUUCUAUAAAACAGACGUUAGUUAAUCCCAAAUAGUAAAAAAAAUUAAAGUCUGCUGUUUGUGUUAGCUCUCUGUUUCUGCUUUGUGUGAGCUAAUUUAAAGUGAAUCCAAA